CAAUUAGCUGCAAAGCUUAAUGCUAAUGGUAGUUUUUUUGGUGAUUUAUCCAGGUCAGGGAAUAAUUCUGCUUUAGGAAUUGGGUUUCAGCAGAAUAGAGGCUUGGGAUUGAACAAUAGUAAUACUAAUCAGAUUUCUAUGCAUUCCUCGAAUCUGCCUUUCAAUGUUAAUGGGGUCAGAUCAUACCAGGCACAGGUACAGCAUCAGCAGCAACAACAAAUAUUUCCGAAGCAGCCUAAUUUGGGAUAUGUGACACA
rnacentral:misc_RNA from 1 species